rnacentral:misc_RNA from 1 species
UCCGGUUUGUCACCGGCGGUCUCCUUAGAGUUCCCACCAUUACGUGCUGGCAACUAAGGACAAGGGUUGCGCUCGUUGCGGGACUUAACCCAACAUCUCACGACACGAGCUGACGACAGCCAUGCAGCACCUGUGUUCGAGUUCCCGAAGGCACCAAUCCAUCUCUGGAAAGUUCUCGACAUGUCAAGGCCAGGUAAGGUUCUUCGCGUUGUACACCUGAAC